rnacentral:rRNA from 1 species
AGUAGAGUGAUCGAAGAUGAAAGCACUUGAAAGAGAGUUAACAGUACGUGAAAUUGUUGAAAGGGAAGCGCUUGCAACCAGACUUGCGCGCGGCGGUUCCCCCUUCCUUUGGUUGGGUUAUUCCGCCGUGUCCAGGCCAACAUCGGUUCUGGGGGUCGGUUAAAGGCCUGGGGAAUGUAUCUACCCUUCGGGCGUAGACUUAUAGCCCCGGGUGUCAUGCGACCUCCCGGGACCGAGGAACGCGCUUCGGCUCGGAUGUUGGCGUAAUGGUUGUCAGCGACCCGUCUUGAAACACGGACCAAGGAGUCUAACAUCUAUGCGAGUGUUUGGGUGUCAAACCCGGAACGCGGAAUGAAAGUGAACGGAGGUAGGAAGCUUCGGCUGCACUAUCGACCGAUCCUGAUGUCUUCGGAUGGAUUUGAGUAAGAGCAUAGCUGUUGGGACCCGAAAGAUGGUGAACUAUGCCUGAAUAGGGUGAAGCCAGAGGAAACUCUGGUGGAGGCUCGCAGCGGUUCUGACGUGCAAAUCGAUCGUCAAAUUUGGGUAUAGGGGCGAAAGACUAAUCGAACCAUUAAAAAGUUACCGGUGGUUAAGUGUAACCGUGAAAGCGGUUGCAAGUGCCAGGUUCUGGCGCGACACUGUCAAAUUGCGGGGACUCCCUAAAGCUUCCGACGACCGCCUCGCCCACGAAAGUGGGAGUGAGGCACCAGGUUAAUGGCCUCGGGUAUGGUAAAACUGUCGAAGAUGUAACAAUGGGUAAUCUGCAGCCAAGUCCUACGGGCCCCCCCUAAAAGGGGCCUACGGAUGCAGUUCACAGACUAAAUGGCAGUGGGCUCUCGAGUAAGCAGGGCUUAAGAUAUAGUCGGUCCCCUGGGGAAACCCAGGCGCAUACGCUAAAUCUGGAGUGAGGAACCCCCUCUGCGGUCACUCCAGACCUGAACGGUGCGGGCGCCCCUGUGUGUUGAUA